ACUUUCCUGUGUGGGUGGGCCCUGGGAAGGAAAGCUGACGGCACCCUCAUUCUCGACAGGUGAUGUCCUGCUUGGUGACACAUCCUGUCUGCUGGUUUCUUCCCUCUCCAGGCUCUGGGAUGAGUGAAGCUGAGAGCAGGGCCACCUACUGCCCCUGGCUGCUCCCUCCACUCUAUGUAACAUCAUAGAACGUCUGUGAAUUGGACUUGGAUGUGUCUCUUCUGGACAAGGUUUGGGAAAAAGACAGAGAUUCUUGAGAAGCCAAGAUGUUUGCAGCAAGGAACAUAUCUGAGUGACAGUCUUGAGAAGUAUAUCCGUGGCACAGUUUUGCAGGAGCAGUCUGGUGGCCCAGCCUCGAUUCUGAUUCUGCUGGUGUGAAGCUUCAUCUUAUAAGGAAUCUGUCUGAUGAGUUAAGCAGCUGAUAACUUUCUUGAACAUCAGAUCAUGGAAGAUAGAAAUAAUGUUACUGAAUUUAUUCUCUUAGGACUUUCUACGGACAAGAAAGUCCAGAUCUUCUGCUUUUUAUUUUUCUUAUUCUGUUACCUGGCUAUUUGAUUGGGGAAUUUGAUCAUCGUGAUUUCUAUUACAUGCA
rnacentral:lncRNA from 1 species